rnacentral:rRNA from 1 species
UACGUAGGGGCCUAGCGUUGUCCGGAUUUAUUGGGCGUAAAGGGCGCGUAGGCGGCCUUGUAAGUCAAAGGUGAAAUCCCUCGGCUCAACUGAGGAACUGCCUUUGAAACUGCAAGGCUUGAGGCCGGGAGGGGGUAGCGGAAUUCCCAAUGUAGCGGUGAAAUGCGUAGAUAUUGGGAGGAACACCAGUGGCGAAGGCGGCUACCUGGACCGGUUCUGACGCUGAGGCGCGAAAGCGUGGGUAGCAAACAGG